UACGGAGGGUGCAAGCGUUAUCCGGAUUCACUGGGUUUAAAGGGUGCGUAGGUGGGCAGGUAAGUCAGUGGUGAAAUCUCCGAGCUUAACUCGGAAACUGCCAUUGAUACUAUUUGUCUUGAAUUUUCUGGAGGUGAGCGGAAUAUGUCAUGUAGCGGUGAAAUGCCUAGAUAUGACAUAGAACACCCAUUGCGAAGGCAGCUCACUACGGAAUUAUUGACACUGAGGCACGAAAGGGUGGGGAUCAAACAGG
rnacentral:rRNA from 1 species